rnacentral:lncRNA from 1 species
GAGCACGCGAACUUAACCACUCGGCCACGGGGCCAGCCCCUGAUUCCAGAUCUUAUGCCUCCCUAGUGCUUCAUGCUUCCACUUAGAGCAAAGAGCUCCAAAAAAUAUUGUCAGGGAAAAGUGCGUGUCAAUGUGCCUGGUUUCAGGACAAUCUCCUGCCAUCUCAAUUUACUCCUGAGUACGAGGAUUCUAAUGAAGUCACCGUGGGUGAUGAGGCUCAGCGCCGUGGUCCUCUCCUGCAGGGACCGCUUCUGCUGCCUGGUUGUUAGCUGUGCGACUGCUGUCUUUGUCUUUGGGAUCUGCAGGGAAAGGCGCUCCAAGAAGGAGGCUCUGAUUAUUAUGAAAUGCUGAUGGCACUGCUAUUAGAAGUUGGGGGCAAGGAGACUGAAUUGGAAGAGAAUUAGAAAAGAUGUUGAGCUGCGCUUGAGAUGCCACUUGAGCUACUCUCAAGGUGCUGGCGAGCAUCACGAGGCCUUUCAUUGGGAUCGUGGAGGCUGAUCAGAGUUUGGACCUGAGGAUGGGGAGCAACAGCCCAAGAGAACACAGACUGUGAGGAUUGUCUCCUGGCUGAGAAAGUUGAGGGAGUGUGUGCAAGGAACAGUGAAUUGGCUUGUCUGGC